AACAUCAGAAAAGGCCAUUUUCCCUCAUGCAAUUAUUUUCGUAUAUGUUAUUCAAAACUGUCAUUUUUUCUGCAAACGCAUGUCCUAUGCGAACAAAUUACAUUUUAGUUUCAUCACUAUAAUAAUUCAACACUAUAAUAUCAUAAUAAAAUGACCAAUUUACAAUUUUAAGUUAUUUAAACUUCUUAGUCUGAAAUAUUUUUGAACAUUUUUUUUUUACGUCUUCAGCUGCACAGCCUUUUUCCACACACUUUUUCUACAUGCAGACAUUUUGAAACCUGUUUUUAAUGCCUUUUUUUUGGGAGCAGGCCUGUGUUCAGUGUGAAAUUGUGCCCAAUGUUUUGUUUUUAACAGUCACUUUUUUACAUUCUUUUUUCGUGUUUUGUCCUUUGAUAACGGUCAGAAACACGCAUACAUGCAAUUACCUUUGUACAGAACCUUUGCUUGCAUUUAUGCGUGUAUCUCAAGGUAGUUACAUUUACCUAACACGUGAACUUCUGGGUCGUUUGCAUUUUAAACGUCCAAGCUAAUUGAUUUUAAUCUAAUUUAAAAUGAAAACGCUUUUGGUUUUUGCUAAAUAUAUUUUUAACUUAGAUUUACUUUAAAAAGUUAAUUCGCAAACCUAGAAAUUGGUACUUUAUGAAGUCUACUUGAGGAAUCAAGAGCGUGGAUUGAAGAAAAAGCCCGACUGGUCGAAGAAGGGAGAUGAAAAGAAGGUAAAGGAGGAGCAGGAGGUUGAAGCAUGAGCGGACUCCUGAUACACCAACGCCCCUUUAUACUACACACAUAUUUUAAUCAUAAUGUUAGGUCUAUUCGUAAUAUCAGAAAAAAGAUACUUAACAUACCCUGCGCGAAUAGGAACUUUAACAUCGCAAAAAGAAAUAGCAUCACGCCUAACUGAAUCAUACAAAGAACAACGCCAUAUUUUUAUUGAACUAUUCCUUGCUCCGAAAGAGCGCGAAGUGUCCUCAGCCAUGAGCCGCCGGAACAUCAACAUUGUAAGCUUAGCUUGAAUCUGAAUACAAAUGUUUCCAGUACCUCGCACGUCAUUCGCAUGCACAAGUCACGAGUAGGUUUUCCCUUGGCAUGUUUACGUUUGAUUUGCACCAUAUUGUAUUUUGGGUCAAGAAGACUGAUUGAAUGGCAAAUAAAAGCAUUUGUGUCUGAGAAUGAAUAUGUUAUGUUUGUCUUGUGGUGUCUUUUGAUUCCCUGUCGUCACAAUAACAUGUCCGCAAGAGAAACCAACUACCCGAAGUCACAGCAUAUCUCUAGAAAUUGCAGUAUUUCACUCUGGUAUGUAUGGUAAAAUGGAAAGUCAUCAGUAUAGAAACCUGUAAAGACUUCUGGGCAACUACGUUGCUCCGGCAAAAAAGCGUUACCCAUGGUGACGCGAGGGAAAGUUAGGCGCCGCACGUCGCGAAGCACCUACUUACAAAUAAGGCGUGGCGCCAGCUCCAUGCUGAUGUGGAUGCAUUGCAGGUUGCAGGCGCAGACCGCUAUUGUAGCAUAGUUACACUCUCAUAUGCCUAUGGAUGUGCUAUCCGUAUGUCAUGGAGAAUUUUGUGCAAACGUAUUAUGGAUCACAAAUUAUCCAUAACAUGGAUAAAAUUGUCCGUAUUACGAACUAGUCUUACUUACUGUCCAAGGCAUGGACGAAAGGUUUAGACGAAAGGUUUAGACGAAAGGUAUGGACAAAAGGUACCCUAUGGAUGAAGGCAUGUCUGUAAUAUGGAUCAAAUUGUCCGUAAUCCGCACAAUUUUAUCCAUAUUAUGGAUAAUUUGUGAUCCAUAAUACGUUUGCACAAAAUUCUCCGUAAGCGUGUCUAUAAGGAAAUGAGAGUGUAAUAACCCAGUACUACGUACCGUGUCUCAGGGCUACGACUUUGCAGUAUGCGGGUUACUUGCCUACUCUAAGGGCCAUGGCGCCUUACGGGUGGGGCGAGUAGGCAAGACUGCACCCUUGUUGUCGUAGCCCUCACACACGGUAUUUUCUCCGGCUGGACUUCUGACCCGGCAUCGCCCGCACUCAGGCACGAAAUCAGAACGCGAAUCUCAUGGGCGAGCAGAGACAUAUACUAGCUUGCGCUUUUACGCUAUUAAAAAUGCUGUCGUAAAUUUACGACACUUUGUAGUUCAUCUUGUUGGCAGACAAAGGUUGUACAACAACGAGGCAAUUGCUGUUGUGUGAUGAGAUUCUCGCCAUGAUAUGACAAAUUUGUUGUCAAGGAACGAAAUUAACUGUUAGUAUACAUGUUACGCUGCCAACAAAAUUACCUACAAAGGUGUGUUAAAGCUACGAAAAUAUCAAUAACAGUGUACCCGCACGACGUAGCCUAGAUCAGUGACCAGUGAAUCGGCGUAACCAGACAGUUCUCGGUCUCUAUUGCGCCCAUGAGAGCGAGAGCGCGGCAGAAUACAAAGUUGGGCACAAAUCAGUCUUAAAAAAAGCGCGUCGUCUCGGGGCACGCCUACUGUGUGGCCACCUUUGAAAACGAACUCGAAGUUACCGUAAUCCCCAUACGUGCACGCCUAUCAGUUGAGUUAGUUCGGCGUAACUGGGAUUUCCCAAAAUUGCAACUUUAAAAAAACUCAUGGAAAUUUAUGAUGGCACGCACCGGAGGGUUUCGGCAUUGCACAUACUUGCUCGGCGGAAUAUAUAACAAGAUAUGAUGAAUAAUUUUGCAUACUUGAUGCGCACGGAAUUUGGUUGGCUCAAUAUAACUUAACAUUUCAUCAAACCAUAACCUUUCCAAUCCCGAAGGUGUAGAUAUGGUCAGAUGUCUUUUUUUAAGACAAAAUUGAAAUCGAUGGGCAACAGACCCCACUUUUAUUUGAGGGAGUACGUGACAAGUGACAAAGUUUCCCAGAAAAUCCUUUUUCCGCAACAGUCUAUCGACGUCCUGUGAGGACCUUCCAAAGACGAACCUGCUAACAAGAAAGAGGAGGUGACAACGGGCCAUGGGACGAAGAGGCCACGUGCCCAUCACUUUUAGGACACUUGGGAAGAGGAAGAGAGCGAGGAGGAAGAAGAGCCAGAGCCGGAACCAGAGCCUGAACCGGAAGAGACACCGGAGUCGAAGGUAGCAGACGCGCUCUCCGUGGUGGCCAAUAAGGCAGACACGGCGCUCAAUGAGGCUAUGCUGGUGCUGGAGAAGCUGCUCAAGGGGCCCCUAGGCGGAGGGGGGGAGGAGGCGCCUCCAGCGGAGGCAGAAGCUCCUCCGGCCGAAGCAGCCCCUCAAGAAGGAGCGCCGCCCGCCGAGGGAGCGCCCGCCGACGCGCCGCCAGCAGAGGCGCCUGCCGGGGAGGCUCCCCCGGCAGAAGCACCCCCGGCAGAAGCUCCCCCGGCGGAAGCCGCCCCAGCGGAAGCUCCUGCAGAAGCUCCAGCAGAGGCUCCCCCGGCAGACGCUCCUGCAGCGGAGGCACCGGCAGCUGAGGCCCCGCCAGCGGAGGCUGCCCCCGCGGAAGCCCCGCCAGCUGAGGCACCUCCAGCGGAGACCCCAGCCGCCGAAGCCCCGCCGGCCGAGGGUGCCCCAGCCGACGCCCCGGCCGAAGCCCCAGCCGGCGAUGCAGCGCCCGCAGAGGGAGCGCCGGCGGAAGUCACCCCGGCGCCCACACCGGAACCAGCACAGCCGCCGCCACCACCACCCAAGCUCACUCCGGAGCAGAAGGCCGAGCAGGCCGCCGUCAAGGCAGAGGAGGCCGCACUGAAGCUCGAGUCACUCCUAGACCAGAUCACGCAGCUUGUCCAGCCACUUAUGCCCCAGCCAGAACCGGAACCCGAGCCCGAACCAGAGCCCGAGCCUGAGCCGGAAGUGGAACCCGAACCCGAACCGGAGCCAGAACCAGAACCAGAACUCCCGCCAGAAGAACCCCCCAAGCCCGAGGAGCCUCCAGAAGCUGCUCUAGACCACGUGGACGAGGUCGAGGUCAGCGACACCAUCAAGUCGGCCGCGCACCGCGCCAAAGACGCCCGGGACAGGAUCGAGCUGGCCAUGGCCAGGAUCCAGCAGGCGAUGGCGAAGGCCGAGCCCGUGCUACCCAAGGCUCAGGAGGGCGACGCCGCACCCAAGGAGGCCGCCGAUGGGGAAGCGCCACCAGCGGACGCGCCUGCCGAGCCCGCGGCUGAAGAAUGAUCGUGGAAUGCUAUUCCGAACAAGCGAACGACAGCGACUCCCGGGAAGUAAAUGAACAACGGCUGCAGAACUUCGACAAACUCUACCCAUUCCCUAUUAGUUCCUACUCCUUAUCCCCGCCCAGACUGAAAACAGAUGAAGAAAACAAGUAGCGUUUAGCGUUUCCACAAUCUAAGACUGUGAAAUUAGCCUAGAGUACAUGCUAUAGAGUAGCAUAAUGGAGGCAGGGUCUGCAUUUAUCACAGUAAAUUCCAUACGCAGAUACUUUGACAGGACAAUCAGACCCAAACAGACCAAACGCACCUUCUACUGGUAUCUUGAAAGAAAUCGGAAAUAAAUAUUUGCAUUUUAUCAAAGAAAAGAAUAAUCUUGUAUAUCUUAAUGUCCCGAUCGAUAAAUACGGACAACUGUCGUAAAACCCAAAGGUAAGUUUGUUCAACAUAAACAGUUAAGUAGUUGUUUGUUGCUUUUUUUCACUGCAAUAUUCAUCGUCUUGCUACAUGUUUAAAUGGCAAUAAGGCAUGUCCAUGAAACAGAUAUUCGGUUGUGUGGAAACAGUUUUGCUUUCUCUGCAUGCAUUUACAAAAAUAGAAUCAGUCCCAGCAUACUAACCCGGAAAGAAACCAAUGUAAUUAUUUUCCUUGGACAAAAAAUCUAGCUCCUUACCAAUACGCCAAAUUCUGGAGGAAAAAAACAGUUUGUCACAGUGAAAUUUCUGUUUGUUCAAAUAGCUAAACGUUCUUCAAUAGUCAUCUAAAUCUCAACAAUUCUUUUAAGCAUUCUUUAAAAAGCUUUUCAAAUUAAAGAUUUGGCGCAAAACGCUACAUGGAAAAAAUCAUUUUAAACAGUUUACAUUGGUUUACCUUUCCCAGUUCUCGAUUGUAAACUGCAAUACUAGGUAAGUUUUCGCCAAAUACAACUCACAACAAGUAUUUGACACUCAGGAGGUACCCGCUCCCGUAGGCAGCUGUUUGCUAACAUGUGCGAUUGGAGUUGUAAUCUAACCUUCACACUGAGCUCUUUUCUUUUAAAAUUAAUUUAAAUAAGAUAAAAUUUCAUAACUAACAUGACACCGAGCACAUGAGGUGAUGUGGGACGGUGCGACAGUCGUGUCGCUAUGUGCUACACACUCACUAAGACAACGUGUACAGGACUCUGACGAGGAAGAGGAGGAAGAAGAGGAGCCGGCGGACGUCAAGGUGACGGAGGCCGUCAAGAUCGUGGCGGGUAAGGCAGAGCACGCCGUAGAGGAGGCCGAGCACGCUCUUGAGCUGCUCCGCGUGGUCCAGGAGAUGCUCCAUCCCCCACAGCCGGAACCGGAACCAGAGCCCGAGCCGGAGCCGCCGGUGGAGGAGCCACCGCCACCAGAACCGGAAGAACCGCCGGCACCGACCCCAGAGCCGUCUCCGAUCCCGCCAACGCCAGAGCCAGAACUACCCCCCGAACCGACACCGGAACCAGAGCCUGAGCUUGACGAAGAGGAGACGCGAGCCAAACUAGCGGCAGACAAGGCCGAAGCUAUGGCGAACCAGCUCGAGCAGCUCCUGGCCGAAAUCGAGGGGAUGGUACAUGUCAUCAUCCCAGAUCCGCCACCAGUCGAGGAGGCCCCGCCACCCGCCGAAGGGGCGGCGCCCGCAGAGGGCGAAGCUCCCGCAGAGGGCGCGGCCGAGGUCCCGGCAGAGGGAGAAGUGGUGGCGCCGACACCAGAACCGGAACCCGUCCCGGAGCCUGAGCCGGUCGUGGAACCCGAACCCGAGCCGGAGCCGGAGCCGGAACCCGAACCCGAGGACCCCGCCCUGGAGAUGCUGGACCACCUCGACGACGAGCCCAUCAAGGACGAAGUCAAGAACAUUGCGCUGCGCGCCAAGGCCGCGAAGGAAAGGAUAGAAGAGACCAUGGCUCGGCUCAAGGAGACCAUCGCCGAGACCGGCCAGCAGGCACUCAUGGACGUGCUCAAGGCCGCCCACCGAGCAGCACUACAGGCCUCGCACGCCGCCGAGGCCGUGGCAGUGGCGCAGACGGAGGCACCAGCACCAGAUGCAGCACCUGUAGAUGCAGCACCUGCUGCACCUGUCGAAGUUGCGUAGCCUGUCUACCGCCAGCCGGGUCGAAGAAGACGAGGACGAGGAAGACGAGGAGGCCCCAGCCGGCGGCGCCGGCACCGCCUGGCCGAACUAGAUCCCCAGAAAGGUUAACUAUAGUGAGGGGCAGUGGAUCCGGUGGUCCCUGUACAUUUUGCAUUUUUCUUGUUUAAAAAUAAAGGGGUAGAUCCUAUAGACAGUUUAUUGUCAAUAAAUUCACUUCCUUAAGACGCCGCGGAAACAACGCUGAGCCUUUUCCAGUUUUUUCUGGUUCGUUAAAUUUUCUCAGUUUUCUUUCCUGUCAUCAAGCUAUAUUGUCUGGUACAAGCAUCCGACUUACUCAUUUUUCAAAAGUGCGUCCGAUGCAUUAUCAUGUUAUUUGUAGAAAGACAGCAGAUAUGCCAUGAUCUCCCGAUAAAAAAGCAUGAUACCAGUUUCAAGCAGAUUCUCUUUGCACGCAACCAAAGACCAUGUAUUGCUUGUUGGAAUGAAGGCGAUUUGUGUAUUAUUUGUAUGCGGGUCACAAUAAAAGUAUUUUCCACAAAA